AGUGAACGCUGGCGGUAGGCCUAACACAUGCAAGUCGAACGGCAGCACAGUAAGAGCUUGCUCUUACGGGUGGCGAGUGGCGGACGGGUGAGGAAUACAUUGGAAUCUACUUUUUCGUGGGGGAUAACGUAGGGAAACUUACGCUAAUACCGCAUACGACCUACGGGUGAAAGCAGGGGAUCUUCGGACCUUGCGCGAUUGAAUGAGCCGAUGUCGGAUUAGCUAGUUGGCGGGGUAAAGGCCCACCAAGGCGACGAUCCGUAGCCGGUCUGAGAGGAUGAUCGGCGGCACUGGAACUGGGACACGGACAAGAGUACUACGAGAGGGAGCAGAGGGGUAUAUGGGGCAGUGGGGGCAAGCAUGGCACAGCCAGAGGGCGUGGGAGGAGGAAGCGCCCGGGGUGUAAUGACCGUCUUUGGGGUGAGAAAAGCAGCAGGUUGAGACCAAGCGGGACUGACGGUACCCAAAGAAUAAGCACCGGCUAACUUCGUG
rnacentral:rRNA from 1 species